AGAGUUUGAUCAUGGCUCAGGACGAACGCUGGCGGCGUGCCUAACACAUGCAAGUCAAAGGAAAGCGGCUUCGGCCGGGAGUACUUGGCGCAAGGGUGAGUAAGGUAUAGGUAAUCUGCCCUUUGGACUGGGAUAACUCCGAGAAAUCGGUGACAAUACCAGAUGAUGCAGCGGAACCGCAUGGUUAUGUUGUUAAAGAUUUAUCGCCAAAGGAUGAGCCUAUAUUCCAUCAGGUAGUUGGCAGGGUAACGGCCUACCAAGCCUACGACGGAUAGCUGGUCUGAGAGGAUGAUCAGCCACAUUGGAACUGAGACACGGUCCAGACUCCUACGGGAGGCAGCAGUGAGGAAUAUUGCGCAAUGGGCGAAAGCCUGACGCAGCAACGCCGCGUGGAUGAAGAAGUUCUUCGGAAUGUAAAAUCCUUUUGCAGAGGAAGAAACUGCCGGUUUACCGGCACUGACGGUACUCUGCGAAUAAGCCACGGCUAACUCUGUGCCAGCAGCCGCGGUAAUA
rnacentral:rRNA from 1 species